UACGGAGGGUGCUAGCGUUGUUCGGAAUCACUGGGCGUAAAGGGCGUGUAGGCGGUCUGUUAAGUCUGAUGUGAAAUCCCCUCGCUCAACGAGGGAACUGCGUCGGAUACUGGCAGACUCGAGUACCGGAGAGGAAGGUGGAAUUCCCGGUGUAGCGGUGAAAUGCGUAGAUAUCAGGAGGAACACCGGUGGCGAAGGCGGGUCUCUGGGCCGAUACUGACACUGAGGAGCGAAAGCGUGGGGAGCGAACAGG
rnacentral:rRNA from 1 species